rnacentral:lncRNA from 1 species
CCUACUUGUACUCAUCACCUCCUCCUCCCAAGAAGCCCUAUUAUUAUCACUCUCCUCCACCACCUUCACCUCCUCCACCUAAGCCAUACUACUAUCAUUCACCACCACCACCUUCACCUCCUCCACCCAAGCCAUACUACUAUCACUCACCACCACCACCUUCACCUCCUCCACCUAAACCAUACUACUAUCACUCACCACCACCACCUUCACCUCCUCCACCUAAACCAUACUACUAUCACUCACCACCACCACCUUCACCUCCUCCACCUAAACCAUACUACUAUCACUCACCACCACCACCUUCACCUCCUCCACCUAAGUCAUAUUACUAUCACUCACCACCACCACCACCCAAAAAGAAGCCAUACUACUACCAUUCUCCCCCACCACCUUCACCACCUCCUCCUAAGCCAUACUACUAUCACUCUCCCCCACCGCCUUCACCUCCUCCACCUACGCCAUACUACUAUCAUUCUCCCCCACCACCCUCACCACCUCCACCUAAGCCAUACUACUACCAUUCACCACCACCCCCACCGAAGAAGAAGCCUUACUACUACCACUCUCCACCACCAC